CGCCAAACAGCUAGCCCUCCCAUCUAAAAACAACAAAUCAUUAUUAAUAACCCCAAAUGCACAACCCAUUAACAAACAAACCAUUUUUCCCCCUCAGUAUGGGCGACAGAAAAGGAUCUAGGAGCAACAGAGAAAGUACCGCAAGGGAAAGCUGAAAGAGAAAUGAAAAAACCCCUUAUAAGCCUAAAAAAGCAGAGUUUUAACCUCGUACCUUUUGCAUCAUGUUUUAGCCAGUAAUCCUCAAGCAAAGUGCACUUUAGUUUGAUACCCCGAAACUAAGUGAGCUACUCCAAGACAGCCUUAUGUAGGGCGACCCCGUCUCUGUUGCAAAAGAGUGGGAAGAGCUUUGAGUAGAGGUGAUAGACCUACCGAACCUAGUUAUAGCUGGUUGCCUGAGAAUUGGAUAGAAGUUCAGCCUCCCCGCUUCUCCCCUCAACCAACUAUUUACCUCUGACCCCAGAGAAGCCGCGAGAGUUAGUCAAAGGGGGUACAGCCCCUUUGAAACAAGAUACAACUUUUUCAGGAGGAUAAAGAUCAUAAUAAAAGAAAGGUAAGUGUUUCCGGUGGGCUUGGAAGCAGCCACCCCCUACAGAAAGCGUUAAAGCUCUAACAUCUCCUUUACCCCUUAAAUUCUGAUAAUUUAAUCUUAAUCCCCUAACCCUACCAGGCCAUCCCAUGCAACCAUGGGAACGACUAUGCUAAUAUGAGUAAUAAGAGAACGCCUACUUCUCUCCCCGCACACGUGUAAAUCGGAUCGGACCCCCCACCGAACCUUAACGGCCCCAAACAAAGAGGGUACUAAACAACAACCCAGUCAACUAGAAAAACACUUAACAUAAAACCGUUAACCCCACACUGGUGUGCCCCCAAGGAAAGACUAAAAGAAAAAGAAGGAACUCGGCAAACACCCUAAGCCUCGCCUGUUUACCAAAAACAUCGCCUCUUGCAAAAUUCUAAAGAAUAAGAGGUCCAGCCUGCCCUGUGACUAUAUGUUUAACGGCCGCGGUAUUUUGACCGUGCAAAGGUAGCGCAAUCACUUGUCUUUUAAAUGAAGGCCCGUAUGAAUGGCACCACGAGGGCUUGACUGUCUCCUUUUUCAAGUCAAUGAAAUUGAUCUCCCCGUGCAGAAGCGGGGAUAUGCACAUAAGACGAGAAGACCCUAUGGAGCUUAAGACAUAAGAUAGCCCGCGUUAAGCCCCCCAAUUAACGGAAGAAACUAAGCAACCCCUAUCCUGCUGUCUUUGGUUGGGGCGACCGCGGGGAACUAUAAAACCCCCAUGUGGACUAAGUACAUCCUCUCACAGCUAAGAGCUCCCGCUCUAGAAAACAGAAAAUCUGACCAAUAAUGAUCCGGCAGUGCCGAUCAACGGACCGAGUUACCCUAGGGAUAACAGCGCAAUCCCCUUUUAGAGUCCAUAUCGACAAGGGGGUUUACGACCUCGAUGUUGGAUCAGGACAUCCUAAUGGUGCAGCCGCUAUUAAGGGUUCGUUUGUUCAACGAUUAAAGUCCUACGUGAUCUGAGUUCAGACCGGAGAAAUCCAGGUCAGUUUCUAUCUAUGCCAUGAUCUUUUCUAGUACGAAAGGACCGAAAAGGAGAGGCCUAUACUUAAAGCACGCCUUACCCCCACCUGUUGAAACCAACUAAAACAGACAAAAGGGCAUACCCUUCAUCUUGCCGGAGAUAAACGACAA
rnacentral:rRNA from 1 species